rnacentral:rRNA from 1 species
UAGGGAAUCUUCGGCAAUGGACGAAAGUCUGACCGAGCAACGCCGCGUGAGUGAAGAAGGUUUUCGGACCGUAAAACUCUGUUGUUAGAGAAGAACAAGGACGUUAGUAACUGAACGUCCCCUGACGGUAUCUAACCAGAAAGCCACGGCUAACUACGUGCCAGCAGCCGCGGUAAUACGUAGGUGGCAAGCGUUGUCCGGAUUUAUUGGGCGUAAAGCGAGCGCAGGCGGUUUCUUAAGUCUGAUGUGAAAGCCCCCGGCUCAACCGGGGAGGGUCAUUGGAAGCUGGGAGACUUGAGUGCAGAAGAGGAGAGUGGAAUUCCAUGUGUAGCGGUGAAAUGCGUAGAUAUAUGGAGGAACACCAGUGGCGAAGGCGGCUCUCUGGUCUGUAACUGACGCUGAGGCUCGAAAGCGUGGGGAGCAAACAGG